AGCGUAGACGGCUGUGCAAGUCUGAAGUGAAAGGCAUGGGCUCAACCUGUGGACUGCUUUGGAAACUGUGCAGCUAGAGUGUCGGAGAGGUAAGUGGAAUUCCUAGUGUAGCGGUGAAAUGCGUAGAUAUUAGGAGGAACACCAGUGGCGAAGGCGGCUUACUGGACGAUGACUGACGUUGAGGCUCGAAAGGCUGGGAGCAAACA
rnacentral:rRNA from 1 species